AUUGAACGCUGGCGGCAUGCCUUACACAUGCAAGUCGAACGGCAGCACGGGUGCUUGCACCUGGUGGCGAGUGGCGAACGGGUGAGUAAUACAUCGGAACAUGUCCUGUAGUGGGGGAUAGCCCGGCGAAAGCCGGAUUAAUACCGCAUACGAUCUACGGAUGAAAGCGGGGGACCUUCGGGCCUCGCGCUAUAGGGUUGGCCGAUGGCUGAUUAGCUAGUUGGUGGGGUAAAGGCCUACCAAGGCGACGAUAAGUAGCUGGUCUGAGAGGACGACCAGCCACACUGGGACUGAGACACGACCCAGACUCCUACGGGAGGCAGCAGUGGGGAAUUUUGGACAAUGGGCGAAAGCCUGAUCCAGCAAUGCCGCGUGUGUGAAGAAGGCCUUCGGGUUGUAAAGCACUUUUGUCCGGAAAGAAAUCCUUGGCCCUAAUACGGUCGGGGGAUGACGGUACCGGAAGAAUAAGCACCGGCUAACUACGUG
rnacentral:rRNA from 1 species